AUGUUUCCUUCCUUCAUGGUCAAUGUCUACAAGUUGCAUGACUAUCUCACCCUGGUCCUUACCGGAUUAGGCCACAACUUCAGGGCACAUGGCCCAUCUAGGACCGUGAUGCGGUUCUUCGUCACGUGCGACCCUGCUAAUGUCCGACACAUCUUCAUGACCAACUACGCCAACUUCUCCAAGGGUGCCGAGUUCGCUGGUAUUUUCGACGUCAUGGGUGGCAGCCUCUUCACCAUCAAUGGUGAAGACUCUGCCACCCAGCGUGGGAAAUUGAAGAACAUGCUCUGCAACCCGCGGAUGUUUGCCAGUACGGAGGGCUGCUGCUGCAACAAGGUGGAGAACAACCUCCUCGCAUUGCUCGCCAACAUGGCGAGCACCGACACUCCCUUUGACGUGCAAGAACUGACACCGAGGUUUAUGUUUGACCUGGCUGUUAUAUCUCUCUUUGGUGUGGAUCCUGGCCUCCUAUCCUCAGGCAAACCACCCAUGGACGCCGCGAUCUCUUUGGACACAAUCAAGGAGGUGGGAUUUUUCUGGCUCAUCAUGCCAGUUUCUUACUGGAAAUUAAUGAGGUGGCUAAACAUCGGCCUCGAAAGAAAGCUCUGCACAGCGCACAAAGUGCUACGAAGGUUCAUCGUGGAGAUGAUGGAAAGGAGGAAGAUCAACACAUGUCAUGUUGGUAAUGGCGAGGAACAACAUGGUGUGGAUAUUAUGUCUUCCUACCAAAAGUACAUUGACGAUGGCUUGUCCUAUGCAUGUUGGUAA
rnacentral:rRNA from 1 species